GACGUAGGGCGCGAGCGUUGUCCGGAUUUAUUGGGCGUAAAGAGCUCGUAGGCGGCUUGUUGCGUCGACUGUGAAAACCCGCGGCUUAACUGCGGGCUUGCAGUUGAUACGGGCAGGCUAGAGUUCGGUAGGGGAGACUGGAAUUCCUGGUGUAGCGGUGAAAUGCGCAGAUAUCAGGAGGAACACCGGUGGCGAAGGCGGCUUGCUGGGCCAGUUCUGACGCUGAGGAGCGAAAGCGUGGGGAGCGAACAGG
rnacentral:rRNA from 1 species